rnacentral:rRNA from 1 species
GACGAACGCUGGCGGCGUGCUUAACACAUGCAAGUCGAACGGAAAGGCCCUGCUUUUGUGGGGUGCUCGAGUGGCGAACGGGUGAGUAACACGUGAGUAACCUGCCCUUGACUUUGGGAUAACUUCAGGAAACUGGGGCUAAUACCGGAUAGGAGCUCCUGCUGCAUGGUGGGGGUUGGAAAGUUUCGGCGGUUGGGGAUGGACUCGCGGCUUAUCAGCUUGUUGGUGGGGUAGUGGCUUACCAAGGCUUUGACGGGUAGCCGGCCUGAGAGGGUGACCGGCCACAUGGGGACUGAGAUACGGCCCAGACUCCUACGGGAGGCAGCAGUGGGGAAUAUUGCACAAUGGGCGGAAGCCGGAUGCAGCAACGCCGCGUGCGGGAUGACGGCCUUCGGGUUGUAAACCGCUUUCGCCUGUGACGAAGCGUGAGUGACGGUAAUGGGUAAAGAAGCACCGGCUAACUACGUG